rnacentral:rRNA from 1 species
AGUGGCGAACGGGUGAGUAAUAUAUCGGAACGUGCCCAGUCGAGGGGGAUAACGUAGCGAAAGUUACGCUAAUACCGCAUACGAUCUAAGGAUGAAAGCGGGGGAUCGCAAGACCUCGCGCGACUGGAGCGGCCGAUAUCAGAUUAGGUAGUUGGUAGGGUAAAGGCCUACCAAGCCAACGAUCUGUAGCUGGUCUGAGAGGACGACCAGCCACACUGGAACUGAGACACGGUCCAGACUCCUACGGGAGGCAGCAGUGGGGAAUUUUGGACAAUGGGCGAAAGCCUGAUCCAGCCAUUCCGCGUGCAGGAUGAAGGCCCUCGGGUUGCAAACUGCUUUUGUACAGAACGAAAAGGUUUCUAUUAAUACUAGGAGCUCAUGACGGUACUGUAAGAAUAAGCACCGGCUAACUACGUGCCAGCAGCCGCGGUAAUACGUAGGGUGCAAGCGUUAAUCGGAAUUACUGGGCGUAAAGCGUGCGCAGGCGGUUAUAUAAGUCAGAUGUGAAAUCCCCGGGCUCAACCUGGGAACUGCAUUUGAGACUGUAUAGCUAGAGUACGGUAGAGGGGGAUGGAAUUCCGCGUGUAGCAGUGUAAUGCGUAGAUAUGCGGAGGAACACCGAUGGCGAAGGCAAUCCCCUGGACCUGUACUGACGCUCAUGCACGAAAGCGUGGGGAGCAAACAGGAUUAGAUACCCUGG